CGCGGGGCCAAGGCCUAGUGGAUGGUUGAUGGGGGCAGGGGAAGGGGCAGAGGGCCCACGCAGUACUGGGAGAGUCCCGUAGCUGAUCUCGCACGAGCCCUACCCCCUCAUCUUGGCAAUGGGAUCCUGGGAUUCCCUGAGAUGUUGGGGGCAACCAAGGUGAGGGUGAGGGUGAAGGUGAGAGUAAGGAGAGACUCCAAAAGGAAAAACAAAACAAAAUCACCCAUGGAUGUUGGAGGAAGACAUGGAGAGCAGAAGAAAUCCCGCGUUCAGUAUGGGGUCUUGCCAUGUUGCCCAGACUGACUUGAAAUUCUCGGAGCUCAAGAUGAAUGUCCUUACUGAGCCUCUCAGCUCAGUAGCUGGGAAUAGAGAAACAGCAAACUGGAUUAUUCAAGUUUUGUCUUCCCUCUUUGGAACUCCCAAAAGAAAAGAAAUCACAAGAACAAAUCUUGGCACAGAAAGAAAAUGAGACAAAGAAUGUAAUCAUAAUACUAGUGAAUGGCUUUCAGACCGACAUCUGUACAUUAAGAAUAUGUAAAAAUACCAAUUUCAUGCUCUGACAACUUAUUCUGCAUCAGGGGUGGGGUAAUGCCUUGGGAAUGCCAAAUGUCAAAGCAUUACAUAAUGUCAGCUAUUCAUGUGCUCCUUUGAUGAGAUAUCACUGAGAAUGGAAAUUCCUUAAGGGAAAAGUGUCUUAAAAGAGGGAGGGGAAAGCAUAAGAAAAGAAAGGAAAAGAAGAAAGAAGAGAUAAAGAGGAGACAGACUGCCCGAUGAGAAUAAAAGACUGACUAUCUAAAGAAAAGUGAAUGUAUAUAUUUUUGAAGAAUACAUAAAGUCCCAAAUCUAAUCUACCAUAUGGAAGAGUUAUUUACUUCUAUUUUAUUUUCUACAGUUGGAACUUCCAUGUUUAAUUACUUUUCCUUCACAUGUGCAACAGCACAAUUUUUGUCUGAGUCUUUAUAAUGUCAACAAAAAUCUAAGAGUAAAAAUU